UACGGAGGGGGCUAGCGUUGUUCGGAAUUACUGGGCGUAAAGCGCACGUAGGCGGCUUUGUAAGUUAGAGGUGAAAGCCCGGGGCUCAACCCCGGAAUUGCCUUUAAGACUGCAUCGCUUGAAUCCAGGAGAGGUGAGUGGAAUUCCGAGUGUAGAGGUGAAAUUCGUAGAUAUUCGGAAGAACACCAGUGGCGAAGGCGGCUCACUGGCCCGGUACUGACGCUCAGGUGCGAAAGCGUGGGGAGCGAACAGG
rnacentral:rRNA from 1 species